rnacentral:rRNA from 1 species
AACGAACGCUGGCGGCAGGCCUAACACAUGCAAGUCGAACGCCCCGCAAGGGGAGUGGCAGACGGGUGAGUAACGCGUGGGAAUCUACCCAGUUCUACGGAACAACACAGGGAAACUUGUGCUAAUACCGUAUACGCCCUAAGGGGGAAAGAUUUAUCGGAAUUGGAUGAGCCCGCGUUGGAUUAGCUAGUUGGUGGGGUAUGGCCUACCAAGGCGACGAUCCAUAGCUGGUCUGAGAGGAUGAUCAGCCACACUGGGACUGAGACACGGCCCAGACUCCUACGGGAGGCAGCAGUGGGGAAUAUUGGACAAUGGGCGCGAGCCUGAUCCAGCCAUGCCGCGUGAGUGAUGAAGGCCUUAGGGUUGUAAAGCUCUUUCAGUAGGGACGAUAAUGACGGUACCUACAGAAGAAGCCCCGGCUAACUUCGUGCCAGCCGCCGCCGUAAGAC